CUACGGGUUGCUGCAGUGGGGAAUAUUGGACAAUGGGGGAAACCCUGAUCCAGCAAUGCCGCGUGUGUGAAGAAGGCCUGCGGGUUGUAAAGCACUUUCGGUUGGGAGGACUGCUUCUAGCACUAAUAUUGUUGGAAGUUGACGUUACCUUCAGAAGAAGCACCGGCUAACUCCGUGCCAGCAGCCGCGGGUAAUACGGAGGGUGCAAGCGUUAAGCGGAAUUACUGGGCGUAAAGCGCGCGUAGGCGGCUAGAUCAGUCGGGUGUGAAAGCCCCGGGCUUAACCUGGGAACUGCAUCCGAUACUGGCUAGCUUGAGUACAGGAGAGGAGAGUGGAAUUCCACAUGUAGCGGUGAAAUGCGUAGAUAUGUGGAGGAACACCAAUGGCGAAGGCAGCUCUCUGGCCUGAUACUGACGCUGAGGUGCGAAAGCGUGGGGAGCAAACAGGAUUAGAUACCCCCGUAGUC
rnacentral:rRNA from 1 species